rnacentral:rRNA from 1 species
GGGUUGUGAGGUUAAGCGACUAAGCGUACACGGUGGAUGCCCUGGCAGUCAGAGGCGAUGAAGGGCGUGCUAAUCUGCGAUAAGCGCCGGUAAGGUGAUAUGAACCGUUAUAACCGGCGAUACCCGAAUGGGGAAACCCAGUGUGAUUCGUCACACUAUCAUUAACUGAAUCCAUAGGUUAAUGAGGCGAACCGGGGGAACUGAAACAUCUAAGUACCCCGAGGAAAAGAAAUCAACCGAGAUUCCCCCAGUAGCGGCGAGCGAACGGGGAGGAGCCCAGAGCCUGAAUCAGCAUGUGUGUUAGUGGAAGCGUCUGGAAAGGCGCGCGAUACAGGGUGACAGCCCCGUACACAAAAGCGCAUGUGCUGUGAGCUCGAUGAGUAGGGCGGGACACGUGGUAUCCUGUCUGAAUAUGGGGGGACCAUCCUCCAAGGCUAAAUACUCCUGACUGACCGAUAGUGAACCAGUACCGUGAGGGAAAGGCGAAAAGAACCCCGGCGAGGGGAGUGAAAAAGAACCUGAAACCGUGUACGUACAAGCAGUGGGAGCACCCUUCGGGGUGUGACUGCGUACCUUUUGUAUAAUGGGUCAGCGACUUAUAUUCUGUAGCAAGGUUAACCGUAUAGGGGAGCCGUAGGGAAACCGAGUCUUAACCGGGCGUUAAGUUGCAGGGUAUAGACCCGAAACCCGGUGAUCUAGCCAUGGGCAGGUUGAAGGUUGGGUAACACUAACUGGAGGACCGAACCGACUAAUGUUGAAAAAUUAGCGGAUGACCUGUGGCUGGGGGUGAAAGGCCAAUCAAACCGGGAGAUAGCUGGUUCUCCCCGAAAGCUAUUUAGGUAGCGCCUCGUGAAUUCAUCUCCGGGGGUAGAGCACUGUUUCGGCUAGGGGGCCAUCCCGGCUUACCAACCCGAUGCAAACUGCGAAUACCGGAGAAUGUUAUCACGGGAGACACACGGCGGGUGCUAACGUCCGUCGUGAAGAGGGAAACAACCCAGACCGCCAGCUAAGGUCCCAAAGUCAUGGUUAAGUGGGAAACGAUGUGGGAAGGCCCAGACAGCCAGGAUGUUGGCUUAGAAGCAGCCAUCAUUUAAAGAAAGCGUAAUAGCUCACUGGUCGAGUCGGCCUGCGCGGAAGAUGUAACGGGGCUAAACCAUGCACCGAAGCUGCGGCAGCGACACUGUGUGUUGUUGGGUAGGGGAGCGUUCUGUAAGCCUGUGAAGGUGGCCUGUGAGGGUUGCUGGAGGUAUCAGAAGUGCGAAUGCUGACAUAAGUAACGAUAAAGCGGGUGAAAAGCCCGCUCGCCGGAAGACCAAGGGUUCCUGUCCAACGUUAAUCGGGGCAGGGUGAGUCGACCCCUAAGGCGAGGCCGAAAGGCGUAGUCGAUGGGAAACGGGUUAAUAUUCCCGUACUUGGUGUUACUGCGAAGGGGGGACGGAGAAGGCUAUGUUGGCCGGGCGACGGUUGUCCCGGUUUAAGCGUGUAGGUGUGUGUUCCAGGUAAAUCCGGUUCACUUUAACACUGAGGCGUGACGACGAGGCACUACGGUGCUGAAGCAACAAAUGCCCUGCUUCCAGGAAAAGCCUCUAAGCAUCAGGUAACAUCAAAUCGUACCCCAAACCGACACAGGUGGUCAGGUAGAGAAUACCAAGGCGCUUGAGAGAACUCGGGUGAAGGAACUAGGCAAAAUGGUGCCGUAACUUCGGGAGAAGGCACGCUGACACGUAGGUGAAGUGAUUUACUCAUGGAGCUGAAGUCAGUCGAAGAUACCAGCUGGCUGCAACUGUUUAUUAAAAACACAGCACUGUGCAAACACGAAAGUGGACGUAUACGGUGUGACGCCUGCCCGGUGCCGGAAGGUUAAUUGAUGGGGUCAGCGCAAGCGAAGCUCCUGAUCGAAGCCCCGGUAAACGGCGGCCGUAACUAUAACGGUCCUAAGGUAGCGAAAUUCCUUGUCGGGUAAGUUCCGACCUGCACGAAUGGCGUAAUGAUGGCCAGGCUGUCUCCACCCGAGACUCAGUGAAAUUGAACUCGCUGUGAAGAUGCAGUGUACCCGCGGCAAGACGGAAAGACCCCGUGAACCUUUACUAUAGCUUGACACUGAACAUUGAGCCUUGAUGUGUAGGAUAGGUGGGAGGCUUUGAAGUGUGGACGCCAGUCUGCAUGGAGCCGACCUUGAAAUACCACCCUUUAAUGUUUGAUGUUCUAACGUGGACCCGUAAUCCGGGUUGCGGACAGUGUCUGGUGGGUAGUUUGACUGGGGCGGUCUCCUCCUAAAGAGUAACGGAGGAGCACGAAGGUUGGCUAAUCCUGGUCGGACAUCAGGAGGUUAGUGCAAUGGCAUAAGCCAGCUUGACUGCGAGCGUGACGGCGCGAGCAGGUGCGAAAGCAGGUCAUAGUGAUCCGGUGGUUCUGAAUGGAAGGGCCAUCGCUCAACGGAUAAAAGGUACUCCGGGGAUAACAGGCUGAUACCGCCCAAGAGUUCAUAUCGACGGCGGUGUUUGGCACCUCGAUGUCGGCUCAUCACAUCCUGGGGCUGAAGUAGGUCCCAAGGGUAUGGCUGUUCGCCAUUUAAAGUGGUACGCGAGCUGGGUUUAGAACGUCGUGAGACAGUUCGGUCCCUAUCUGCCGUGGGCGCUGGAGAACUGAGGGGGGCUGCUCCUAGUACGAGAGGACCGGAGUGGACGCAUCACUGGUGUUCGGGUUGUCAUGCCAAUGGCACUGCCCGGUAGCUAAAUGCGGAAGAGAUAAGUGCUGAAAGCAUCUAAGCACGAAACUUGCCCCGAGAUGAGUUCUCCCUGAGACUUUAAGUCUCCUGAAGGAACGUUGAAGACGACGACGUUGAUAGGCCGGGUGUGUAAGCGCAGCGAUGCGUUGAGCUAACCGGUACUAAUGAACCGUGAGGCUUAACCUUACAACGCCGAAG